GACGAACGCUGGCGGCGUGCUUAACACAUGCAAGUCGAACGGAAAGGCCCUGCUUUUGUGUGGUGCUCGAGUGGCGAACGGGUGAGUAACACGUGAGUAACCUGCCCUUGACGUUGGGAUAACUUCAGGAAACUUGGGCUAAUACCGGAUAGGAGCUCCUGCUGCAUGGUGGGGGUUGGAAAGUUUCGGCGGUUGGGGAUGGACUCGCGGCUUAUCAGCUUGUUGGUGGGGUAGUGGCUUACCAAGGCUUUGACGGGUAGCCGGCCUGUGAGGGUGACCGGCCACCUUGGGACUGAGAUACGGACCAGACUCCUACGGGAGGCAGCAGUGGGGAAUAUUGCACAAUGGGCGGAAGCCUGAUGCAGCAACGCCGCGUGCGGGAUGACGGCCUUCGGGUUGUAAAACGCUUUCGCCUGUGACGAAGCGUGAGUGACGGUAAUGGGUAAAGAAGCACCGGCUAACUACGUG
rnacentral:rRNA from 1 species